UAAGUGUUUUAUCUCAUUUGUAUGUAUUUCACAACAUCAUAUUGAUUUAUAGCGAUAUUUGUGUGAUGUGCACUCCUAAACUUUUCCUCAGGAAAUUGGUUUUAUCAUGGAAAACACCGAACAUGCAUUUGAAUGGCUAUGCACUGACAAAGCCACUUUUAACAGGGGAAACAUAAGAAAGAGACAUUUUCUUUCACUGGCGAUGCGGAG